CGAAUGGACAAGAAGCUGACUCAGGCACAACUUGCACAGCUUAUCAAUGAGAAGCCGCAAGUGAUCCAAGAGUAUGAAUCAGGAAAGGCGAUUCCAAACCAGCAGGUGAUCUCGAAACUGGAAAGGGCUCUGGGUGUGAAACUGCGAGGUAAAAAGUAGUCAUGGAAGGCCAUUGGUCAUGGGCUUCCAGCAACUGAGUCUGCG
rnacentral:misc_RNA from 1 species